CCAGACUCCUACGGGAGGCAGCAGUGAGGAAUAUUGGUCAAUGGGCGGGAGCCUGAACCAGCCAUGCCGCGUGAAGGCGAGUGCCCUACGGGCGUUAAACUUCUUUUGUGCGGGAGCAAUAAGGGCCACGCGUGGCCCGAUGAGAGUACCGCACGAAUAAGCAUCGGCUAACUCCGUGCCAGCAGCCGCGGUAAUGCGUAGGUGGCGAGCGUUAUCCGGAAUGAUUGGGCGUAAAGGGUGCGCAGGCGGUCCUGCAAGUCUGGAGUGAAACGCAUGAGCUCAACUCAUGCAUGGCUUUGGAAACUGGAGGACUGGAGAGCAGGAGAGGGCGGUGGAACUCCAUGCGUAGCGGUAAAAUGCGUAGAUAUAUGGAAGAACACCAGUGGCGAAGGCGGCCGCCUGGCCUGUUGCUGACGCUGAGGCACGAAAGCGUGGGGAGCAAAUAGGAUUAGAUACCCUAGUA
rnacentral:rRNA from 1 species